UACGGGGGGGGCAAGCGUUGUUCGGAAUUACUGGGCGUAAAGGGCUCGUAGGUGGCCAACUAAGUCAGACGUGAAAUCCCUCGGCUUAACCGGGGAACUGCGUCUGAUACUGGAUGGCUUGAGUCCGGAAGAGGAGAGUGGAAUUCCUGGUGUAGCGGUGAAAUGCGCAGAUAUCAGGAAGAACACCCGUGGCGAAGGCGGCUCUCUGGGACGGUACUGACGCUGAGACGCGAAAGCGUGGGGAGCGAACAGG
rnacentral:rRNA from 1 species